rnacentral:rRNA from 1 species
CCUACGAGAGGCAGCAGUGGGGAAUAUUGGGCAAUGGACGCAACUCUGACCCAGCAACGCCGCGUGAAUGAUGAAGGUCUUCGGAUUGUACAGCUCUUUUUUAAGGGAAGAAGAAAGUGACGGUACCUUAGGAAUAAGCCUCGGCUAACUACGUGCCAGCAGCCGCGGUAAUCCGUAGGAGGCAAGCGUUAUCCGGAAUGACUGGGCGUAAAGGGUGCUUAGGUGGUUUGACAAGUUAGUAGCUCAACUCCGGAGCUCAACUUCGGAACUACUACUAAAACUGUUAGACUUGAGUGCGGGAGGGGCAAGCGGAAUUCCUGGUGUAGCGGUGGAAUGCGUAGAUAUUAGGAGGAACACCAGUGGCGAAGGCGGAUUGCUAGACUGUAACUGACACUGAGGCACGAAAGCGUGGGGAGCAAACAGGAUUAGAUACCCCGGUAGUC